UACGUAGGGGGCAAGCGUUGUCCGGAUUUAUUGGGCGUAAAGAGCUCGUAGGCGGCCUGUUGCGUCCGCUGUGAAAGCCCGGGGCUUAACCCCGGGUCGGCAGUGGAUACGGGCAGGCUAGAGGUAGGUAGGGGAGAAUGGAAUUCCCGGCGUAGCGGUGAAAUGCGCAGAUAUCGGGAGGAACACCGGUGGCGAAGGCGGUUCUCUGGGCCUUACCUGACGCUGAGGAGCGAAAGCGUGGGGAGCGAACAGG
rnacentral:rRNA from 1 species